rnacentral:ncRNA from 1 species
ACCAGUGACACGGGGUGCCGUCGAGGUGACGGCUGAGAGCACACCCGUCGAACCUGCCCUGGUCAACGCCUGCGAAGGGAUCGUCACCCAUGACUGCC